rnacentral:ncRNA from 1 species
GAAAGGCGAAAAGAACCCCGGCGAGGGGAGUGAAACAGAACCUGAAACCGUGUACGUACAAGCAGUGGGAGCCUCAUUUAUGGGGUGACUGCGUACCUUUUGUAUAAUGGGUCAGCGACUUAUAUUCUGUAGCAAGGUUAACCGUAUAGGGGAGCCGCAGGGAAACCGAGUCUUAACUGGGCGUUAAGUUGCAGGGUAUAGACCCGAAACCCGGUGAUCUAGCCAUGGGCAGGUUGAAGGUUGGGUAACACUAACUGGAGGACCGAACCGACUAAUGUUGAAAAAUUAGCGGAUGACUUGUGGCUGGGGGUGAAAGGCCAAUCAAACCGGGAGAUAGCUGGUUCUCCCCGAAAGCUAUUUAGGUAGCGCCUCGUGAACUCAUCUCCGGGGGUAGAGCACUGUUUCGGCUAGGGGGCCAUCCCGGCUUACCAACCCGAUGCAAACUGCGAAUACCGGAGAAUGUUAUCACGGGAGACACACGGCGGGUGCUAACGUCCGUCGUGAAGAGGGAAACAACCCAGACCGCCAGCUAAGGUCCCAAAGUCAUGGUUAAGUGGGAAACGAUGUGGGAAGGCACAGACAGCCAGGAUGUUGGCUUAGAAGCAGCCAUCAUUUAAAGAAAGCGUAAUAGCUCACUGGUCGAGUCGGCCUGCGCGGAAGAUGUAACGGGGCUAAACCAUGCACCGAAGCUGCGGCAGCGACGCGUAUGCGUUGUUGGGUAGGGGAGCGUUCUGUAAGCCGUUGAAGGUGUGCUGUGAGGCAUGCUGGAGGUAUCAGAAGUGCGAAUGCUGACAUAAGUAACGAUAAAGCGGGUGAAAAGCCCGCUCGCCGGAAGACCAAGGGUUCCUGUUCAACGUUAAUCGGAGCAGGGUGAGUCGACCCCUAAGGCGAGGCUGAAAAGCGUAGUCGAUGGGAAGCAGGUUAAUAUUCCUGCACUUGGUGUUACUGCGAAGGGGGGACGGAGAAGGCUAGGUUAUCCGGGCGACGGUUGUCCCGGUUUAAGCGUGUAGGCUGACACCUUUGGUAAAUCCGGGGUGUCUUAAGGCUGAGGCGUGACGACGAGCCACCACGGUGGUGAAGUAACUGAUGCCCUGCUUCCAGGAAAAGCCUCUAAGCUCCAGGUAACACGAAAUCGUACCCCAAACCGACACAGGUGGUCAGGUAGAGAAUACCAAGGCGCUUGAGAGAACUCGGGUGAAGGAACUAGGCAAAAUGGUGCCGUAACUUCGGGAGAAGGCACGCUGGCGCGUAGGUGAAGGGACUUGCUCCCCGAGCCGAAGCCAGUCGAAGAUACCAGCUGGCUGCAACUGUUUAUUAAAAACACAGCACUGUGCAAACACGAAAGUGGACGUAUACGGUGUGACGCCUGCCCGGUGCCGGAAGGUUAAUUGAUGGGGUUAUCCGCAAGGAGAAGCUCUUGAUCGAAGCCCCGGUAAACGGCGGCCGUAA